GCUGCCUCUUUGUCUGGUUUGCCUGCUGGUUGCCACAUGCUCCUUGCACUGAGCCCCCUGUCUGCCUCUCUGCCUUGAGUGAACUGCUGUCUGGUUUGAUAAGUGAGGUGGUUGCCAGCUGCUGGUCGAGGCUAGGCACUCUAGGUGGUUCCCUGCACUGUUUGUAGUGGACUUUUACAAGGGGCUCUAGCGAUGAAGUAAACGAUAAGGGUGAGAGGGGUCGCCCUGUUUUGUUCCUUGACCAGGGGUUUCCAAAGAGGGUCACAGUUGAGUUUGAGAAGAGGCCCAAGGGCCAGCAGCACCUGCUCACAUUUUUCACCUCAAACAUUAAAAAAAACACAUGAAUGUUCUAUCUUUUAA